rnacentral:rRNA from 1 species
AGAGUUUGAUCCUGGCUCAGAACGAACGCUGGCGGCAUGCCUAACACAUGCAAGUCGAACGAAGGCUUCGGCCUUAGUGGCGCACGGGUGCGUAACGCGUGGGAAUCUGCCCUUGGGUACGGAAUAACUCACCGAAAGGUGUGCUAAUACCGUAUGAUGUCGCGAGACCAAAGAUUUAUCGCCUGAGGAUGAGCCCGCGU